rnacentral:rRNA from 1 species
CCUACGGGGGGCAGCAGUGGGGAAUAUUGGGCAAUGGGCGCAAGACUGACCCAGCAACGCCGCGUGAAGGAAGAAGGCUUUCGGGUUGUAAACUUCUUUUGUCAGGGAAGAGUAGAAGAUGGUACCUGACGAAUAAGCCACGGCUAACUACGUGCCAGCAGCCGCGGUAAUACGUAGGUGGCAAGCGUUGUCCGGAUUUACUGGGUGUAAAGGGCGUGUAGCCGGGUUGACAAGUCAGAUGUGAAAUCCUGCGGCUUAACCGCAGAACUGCAUUUGAAACUGUUGAUCUUGAGUACUGGAGAGGCAGACGGAAUUCCUAGUGUAGCGGUGAAAUGCGUAGAUAGUAGGAGGAACACCAGGGGCGAAGGCGGUCUGCUGGACAGCAACUGACGGUGAGGCGCGAAAGCGUGGGGAGCAAACAGGAUUAGAUACCCGAGUAGUC